rnacentral:rRNA from 1 species
AUUGAACGCUGGCGGCAUGCCUUACACAUGCAAGUCGAACGGUAACAGGUCUUCGGAUGCUGACGAGUGGCGAACGGGUGAGUAAUACAUCGGAACGUGCCCGAGAGGGGGGGAUAACGAGGCGAAAGCUUUGCUAAUACCGCAUACGAUCUCAGGAUGAAAGCAGGGGACCGCAAAGCCGUGCGCUCACGGGGCGGCCGAUGGCAGAUUAGGUAGUUGGUGGGAUAAAAGCUUACCAAGCCGACGAUCUGCAGCUGGUCUGAGAGGCCGACCAGCCACACUGGGACUGAGACACGGCCCAGACUCCUACGGGAGGCAGCAGUGGGGAAUUUUGGACAAUGGGCGCAAGCCUGAUCCAGCCAUGCCGCGUGCAGGAUGAAGGCCUUCGGGUUGUAAACUGCUUUUGUACGGAACGAAAAGACUCUGGUUAAUACCUGGGGUCCAUGACGGUACCGUAAGAAUAAGCACCGGCUAACUACGUGCCAGCCGCCGCCGUAAGAC